rnacentral:rRNA from 1 species
CCCAAUGAUGGAAAUUUAAUGGCCGCGGUAUAUUGACCGUGCGAAGGUAGCAUAAUAAUUUGUCUUUUAAUUGAGGACUAGUAUAAAUGGUCGAACAAAAAGUUAGCUGUCUCUGAGUUAUGUCUUGAAUUUAACAUUUAAGUGAAAAGGCUUAAAUAAUUUAAGGGGACGAUAAGACCCUAUAAAUCUUUAUAUUAAUUUGUUGUUAAAUUGGAAAGUAGAAUUAAUUCCGGGUUUAAUAAUUUUGAAUAUUUUGUUGGGGAGACAGAAGUGUAAAUAAAUAACUACUUUAAAAAAAAAGUUAAUGAUAUUUAAUGAGGAGAUCCUUUACUAAGGAUUGUAGAAUAAGUUACUUUAGGGAUAACAGCGUAAUUUCUUUUGAGAGUCCAUAUCGAAAAGGAANCUUGCGACCUCGAUGUUGANUUAAAGAUCCUAUAAUGGCGCAGAAGUUAUAAAA